GACAGAGGGGGCAAGCGUUGCUCGGAAUCACUGGGCGUAAAGGGCGCGUAGGCGGGCUGGCAAGUCAGUCGUGAAAUCUCUCGGCUCAACCGAGAAACGUCGGCUGAUACUGCCGUUCUUGAGGGAUGCAGAGGAGACUGGAAUUCCCGGUGUAGCGGUGAAAUGUGUAGAGAUCGGGAGGAACACCGGUGGCGAAGGCGGGUCUCUGGGCAUCUCCUGACGCUGAGGCGCGAAAGCGUGGGGAGCAAACAGG
rnacentral:rRNA from 1 species